UACGAAGGGGGCUAGCGUUGCUCGGAAUCACUGGGCGUAAAGCGCACGUAGGCGGAUUCUUAAGUCAGGGGUGAAAUCCUGGAGCUCAACUCCAGAACUGCCUUUGAUACUGGGAAUCUCGAGUCCGGGAGAGGUGAGUGGAACUGCGAGUGUAGAGGUGAAAUUCGUAGAUAUUCGCAAGAACACCAGUGGCGAAGGCGGACUCACUGGCCCGGUACUGACGCUGAGGUGCGGAAAGCGUGGGGAGCAAACAGGG
rnacentral:rRNA from 1 species